AUUGAACGCUGGCGGCAGGCCUAACACAUGCAAGUCGAACGAGUGGCGGACGGGUGAGUAAUGCCUGGGAAACCGCCCGAUUGAGGGGGAUAAAUACUGGAAACGGUAGCUAAUACCGCAUAUCAUCGGAUGUGCCCAUAUGGGAUUAGCUAGUAGGUGGGGUAACGGCUCACCUAGGCGACGAUCCCUAGCUGGUCUGAGAGGAUGACCAACCACACUGGAACUGAGACACGGUCCAGACUCCUACGGGAGGCAGCAGUGGGGAAUAUUGCACAAUGGGCGCAAGCCUGAUGCAGCCAUGCCGCGUGUAUGAAGAAGGCCUUCGGGUUGUAAAGUACUUUCAGCGAGGAGGCGUUACUCGCAGAAGAAGCACCGGCUAACUCCGUGCCAGCAGCCGCGGUAAUAC
rnacentral:rRNA from 1 species